GACGAACGCUGGCGGCGUGCCUAAUACAUGCAAGUCGACCUUAGUGGAGAACGGGUGAGUAACACGUGGGUAACCUGCCCAUCAGCAGGGGAUAACACUUGGACACAGGUGAUAAUACCGUAUACUGAUGGAUGUACCCGCGGUGCAUUAGCUAGUUGGGGAGGUAACGGCUCACAAAGGCAACGAUGCAUCGCCGACCUGGGAGGGUGAUCGGCCACAUUGGGAUGGAGACACGGCCCAAACUCCUAGGGGAGGCAGCAGUAGGGAAUCUUCGGCAAUGGACGAAAGUCUGACCGAGCAACGCGGCGUGAGUGAAGAAGGUUUUCGGAUCGUAAAACUCUGUUUUUAGAGAAGCGGUAUCUAACCAGAAAGCCACGGCUAACUACGUGCCAGCAGCCGCGGUAAUAC
rnacentral:rRNA from 1 species